GCUGCCAUGUGUCCCCGAGCGUGGGCUCCGGCGACCGCUCGAUGGCUCCUCGCCCUGGUGGCGCUUCUGGGCCCCGCCGCCCGCGCCUGGGAGCUCACCAUCCUGCACACCAAUGACGUGCACAGCCGCCUGGAGCAGACCAGCGUGGACUCGAGCAAGUGCGUCAAUGCCAGCCUGUGUGUGGGCGGCGUGGCGCGUCUCUACACCAAGGUGCUGCAGAUCCGCAGCUCCGACCCCCACGUGCUGCUGCUCGAUGCUGGCGACCAGUACCAGGGCACCAUCUGGUUCACCGUGUACAAGGGCGCUGAGGUGGCGCACUUCAUGAACGCCCUGGGCUACGAUGCCAUGGCACUGGGAAACCAUGAAUUUGAUAAUGGUGUAGAUGGAUUGAUUGAUCCACUCCUCAAACAGGCCAAAUUUCCAAUUCUGAGUGCAAACAUUAAAGCAAAGGGACCACUAGCAUCUCAAAUAUCAGGACUUUAUUUGCCAUAUAAAAUUCUUCCUGUUGGUGAUCAAGUUGUGGGAAUUGUUGGAUAUACUUCAAAAGAAACCCCUUUUCUUUCAAAACCAGGAAAAAAUUUAGUGUUUGAAGAUGAAAUCAGUGCAUUGCAAACCGAAGUAGAUAAACUGAAAACUCUGAAUGUGAACAAAAUUAUUGCCUUGGGACACUCUGGUUUUGAAAUGGAUAAACUCAUCGCUCAGAAAGUGAAAGGUGUGGAUGUGGUGGUUGGAGGACAUUCCAACACUUUUCUUUAUACAGGUACACCACCUUCCAAGGAGGUGCCUGCUGGGAACUAUCCAUUCAUAGUCACCUCUGAUGAUGGACGGAAGGUUCCUGUAGUCCAGGCCUAUGCAUUUGGCAAAUAUCUAGGCUAUCUGAAGGUGGAGUUUGAUGAGAAAGGAGAAGUCAUCGCUUUACAUGGAAACCCCAUUCUUCUUAACAGCAGCAUUCCUGAAGAUCCAGCCAUAAAAGCAGAUAUUAACAAAUGGAGAAUAAAAUUAGAUAAUUAUUCCACCCAGGAAUUGGGGAAAACAAUCGUCUAUCUGGAUGGCUCCACUGAAUCCUGCCGCUUUAGAGAAUGUAACAUGGGCAACCUGAUUUGUGAUGCUAUGAUCAACAACAAUCUUAGACACCCGGAUGAACUUUCCUGGAACCACGUGUCCAUGUGUAUUUUAAAUGGAGGUGCCAUUCGGUCCCCCAUUGAUGAACAGAACAAUGGCACAAUUACAUGGGAGAACCUGGCUGCUGUGUUGCCUUUUGGAGGCACCUUUGACCUGAUCGAAUUAAAAGGCUCCACCCUGAAGAAGGCCUUUGAACACAGUGUGUACCGCUAUGGCCAGUCCAGUGGAGAAUUCCUGCAGGUUGGUGGAAUUCAUGUGGUAUAUGAUCUCUCCCGAACUCCUGGAAACAGAGUGGUCAGUUUAGAUGUUCUUUGUACACAAUGUCGAGUGCCCAGAUAUGAGCCCCUAAGAGAUGAUGACAUCUAUAAGGUAGUCCUCCCAAAUUUCCUUGCCAAUGGUGGAGAUGGAUUCCAGAUGCUAAGAGAUGAAGUACUCAAACAUGACUAUGGUGACCAAGAUAUUAAUGUGGUUUCUGAAUACAUCUCAAAAAUGCAAGUAAUUUAUCCAGCAGUUGAAGGUCGGAUCAAAUUUUCUACAGGAACUCAUUGCCGUGGAAGCUUUUUUCUAAUAUUUCUUUCACUUGGGGCAGUAAUUUUUAUUUUGUACUAAUAGUCAAGAAAAAGGACUUUCCUUGCCAUCAAUGUGUGGAACUGAAAUUUCCCUCAAGUGAUAUUCCUGUCUUUCAGAAACAAGCUUUGUGAUGGUACAAAUCAUUUUCACAAGCUCCUAGAAACUGAGCUGGGGGGAAGGAAGGAAGGAAGGAAAAAGAAAAUAAAGACUGGCAUCAUCUCUCUGAAUCAGCAGUGAACUCAUCGAAAAAGAAAUGAAAAUGUGAUCCUCCUAGAAAAAGGUCAAGGAUCUUUAGUUUACAUGUGAAAUUUUUAAAUAAAUGUUAACUAUUUUAA